GCUGAAAGUCUUUGUCAUGAGCUGUAAUGGAAGGAUGACAAAGAUUUGUCCCUUUGCUUUUUCAUGCAGUGCGUGGCCCUUUAAAGCCAUCCUUUGUGACCCCAGUGACUCAACGUGAGGGACAUCAGCAAAAGGGAAAGGAAAUGCCGGAGCAUGACACAAUUGUUUCCAGGCGAGCGGGUUCCUGGUGGAGAGCCAGGUGCUGAUACCCAGACUCACACCAGGUACAGCUGUUUUUAAUGUGGUUGAAAUAUUAUGAAAGGCCCUUCACUCAAGCCAUCAGUGAACUUCCUCAGCAGGAGAGAGGCAGAGCUGGUGGGCUGUGGUGGUCGUCAUCAGAUGUGAGCUCCAUCAAGGACAGGAGCUGCACCAAAGGAGCUAGUAAUGUUCUUCCCCUUUGGCAACCAGAAGGAAUCUGUAAUAUGCAAGUGCUCAGCAAGAGUGGAAAUGAAGGGUUGAGUCACAAUCUGGGCCCCAGGCACGAGCCCUUCAUAGAAGUUGUCUUUAUGCACCUUGCAACAGCCUCUGAUGAACCUUAUAAAGGAUUUAGCUCCCCUCAAGCAGUGCGGUUUCAGAACAGACCACCUGCACGGUAACUAAGAAAAACAGUUCAAAAACACAGCAGGGAUUGGUGAAAGAUAACAAAAUCAUCUGAAAAGCCACGCUAAAAAAUAAAAUAAAAAUGUUUAGGAGUGGGAAGAAAAGGUCUUCAGUUGAUUCAGUGUUGCCCAUCAAGUCGGAAAUGCCUAUGACAUUUUGGAAAUGCCGACAGCUUGAGGAAAUGAAGAAACUUGCCAUGAUCUCAGAGUCCUGCUUGGCCCAGCAGGGACGGAAGCAAAGGCCCUGCAACAUGGCAGGAAUUGUCAAGACCUGGGUCCUGCAGGGGGACUGGCCCACGGAACAAAUCUGAGUGGAUUUACAGCUAUUUGAAACACUUGAGGAGAGCCAAGUGUUUUUAGCUGGAGGCUUGGGUCUGCAGGAAGGACUCCUGGCUCUUCCCUGUGAAUCAGCUUGCCUCGGAGCUAGCAGACCGUGCAGGUUUUCGUGGGGCCUGCCUGCAGCACAAGGAGCAUGCUGUGAGCGCACACUCAGGUGGCAGCAGGCCCAGCCAAACUGUGGUGCCACUGGUACAAGGCUUCCAGAAAGCUUUUUGAUCUUGAUACUCAGCAGGAUGAAUGAUUCAAAUCUCCACAUUUUUUACAGGUCCGCUGAGUUCCUCACCACCCAGGCCUAUUCAUUCCUAUCUGGAGGGUAGACUUUCUUAACAGCGUUCCCAAAAUACCCAUGGUGGGGCUGGAGAGCUGGUUCUGAGAACUCUCUAAAGACAGAGACUUCAGAGGACUUUCUGACAUCCUUCCACAGCUGUGCCAGCCCAAGCUAGCUCUGCAGCUCCUACUAUCAUUAAAAAUAAAAUAAUUUAAAAAAUGUUUUUCCUUUGCUUCAUCUUUCUGACAGAUCUGUGCGUUAGACUGGGGGUGCUCCCAUUGUUGCAAGGAGCCAGAGGAAGAGCCGCAAGCCCUGGUGGCACACAGCUGGCAUCCAGAGCCAGUGUGUGCACAGGGAUGGGAGCCUGCAGAGCCCCUUGACAGCCUGCUGUGCUCUGGGGGAGGUUUUCUCCAUGUGGAGUCCGAGAUGGGCAGUAUUUUGAAUGAUGCAUAAUAAUGGCACUGUGGCCAUCAGGGCGAAUUCUUGCCUUGCUGCAAGAAAAUGGUUGUGAAAUCCUGCUACUAAAUUUAGGGGGAAAUUUCUAUGUCGGCUGAGCUUCUUGGUAAGUGUGUUAGAAAUGAUUGCCCAAGUUGUGAGCAGAAUGAGCAGUGACAUUACAAAAGCCGAGUGACUGCUGUGUGCUAUCUGUCCCUACCUGACCUCCUUCACAUCUCUCUGAGAAACACAAAAAUUUCAGGGGUGCAUCUGUGCCUUCAGUGAAAUGCCUCACAAAUGAAACUAAGCAGAGCCCUCACUUCUGCCCUGGGCCCCUGCAACACCCUGUCACCCCCCCCCCUCUUUUGGGAUACCUCCCAGCUAAAGAUACAGCUGUGUCCUGGUUCGCUGUGCAGGCAGGAUGCUGCUCAACACCAUGCAUGGCUGGAGAAGUGCCUCCUUCCUUGGAGAUCUUCAAAAGCCCCCUUGACAUCGUCCUGGGCAGGUGUCCUUGCUUGAGCAGGAGGGUUGGACCAGAUGAUCUCCAGAGGUCCCUUCCAACCUCUGCCCUUCUGUGAUCCUGUAAAGUGUCCUGAGCUCCUGCUGCUGGAUGCUGAAGAGACCAUGGGAUGUCUGAGACAGCACUGAGGCUGGGCCAGCAACAGCCUCUGCAUUGCCUUAUCACAGGGAGAAACCUGCAGGUACCAGUGUGAUCCCUGUGAAGCUGCCCAGGGCUGGGAGAUGUCCCUCAUCAGGGAACAAUAUCCAGUGACAGACACUGCACAGAGGCCAAGAAUCAGUUGGACAAAGUCACGCUUAUUAUUUCCAUUUGCAGGUGUGAUUUGAUGCAGCAGUCAAGAUAUGCUGGGUCACACCUGUAGGCCACAGUGGCAGUUUACAUUAGGAUAGGAUAACAGCAUAUUCAGACUUUUUUUCAAUGUGAUAGUUCUGAAGCUAUUGAUUUUUUUCCCCCAUAAUAACAUUUAUAACACUGCAGUGACAAACAAUUUCUACCCUAAUUUCUAACACCAUGAUUUACCUAGUAGGUAUUUUCUAUAAUACAUGGAUUUAUAGCAGUUUGCUAUGCUUCCCUUUUGGAGCACUUAGUUUUUUAAUAUCAUUAGCCUAAUAUUUAGUCAGAAUAUAAAUUUUAUGAUCCCAAUAAAAACUAAUUAUGAUGUGGCACUCACCUCAUAAGUCAGUACGUGUCAGUCCUCCGAGGCAUUACAGAUGCUAUCACCAGGCUUGAAGACAGUUAGACACAGUCAGUUGCAGCACAGCACCAACAGAAAGAUGUACAAAGCUGAACCUCACCCUUAGGUGAGAGCUAUUUAAUGAAUGGCCUCUCAGUGUUAAAGCUUUUGUAUGUACUGGAAAGAGUAUGCUAUUCAGUCCAUGUUUUUAUUGUGCUUAGGAACCAAUCUUAAAUGGUACUGGGUAGAAAGGAAGUUUUCAGUUGUUUUGCCUCUGUUGCCUGCCUCUCCUUUUCCCCUCUGUGCCUCUGUUGCCCUGCUCCCAUUCCCUUCCUAGCCCUAGAUGCCAGCUUCCUCC
ensembl:lncRNA